GACAGAGGGCUCAAACGUUGUUCGGAAUUACUGGGCAUAAAGCGCACGCAGGCGGCUUGCUAAGUCGGGUGUGAAACCCCUUGGCUCAACCGAGGAACUGCAUUCGAUACUGGUAGGCUCGAGGACGGGAGGGGUAAGCGGAACUCCAGGUGUAGCGGUGAAAUGCGUAGAUAUCUGGAGGAACACCGGUGGCGAAGGCGGCAUUCUGGACCAAUACUGACGCUGAGGAGCGAAAGCCAGGGGAGCAAACGGG
rnacentral:rRNA from 1 species